GAUGAACGCUGGCGGCGUGCCUAAUACAUGCAAGUCGAGCGAACGGACGAGAAGCUUGCUUCUCUGAUGUUAGCGGCGGACGGGUGAGUAACACGUGGAUAACCUACCUAUAAGACUGGGAUAACUUCGGGAAACCGGAGCUAAUACCGGAUAAUAUUUUGAACCGCAUGGUUCAAAAGUGAAAGACGGUCUUGCUGUCACUUAUAGAUGGAUCCGCGCUGCAUUAGCUAGUUGGUAAGGUAACGGCUUACCAAGGCAACGAUGCAUAGCCGACCUGAGAGGGUGAUCGGCCACACUGGAACUGAGACACGGUCCAGACUCCUACGGGAGGCAGCAGUAGGGAACCUUCCGCAAUGGGCGAAAGCCUGACGGAGCAACGCCGCGUGAGUGAUGAAGGUCUUCGGAUCGUAAAACUCUGUUAUUAGGGAAGAACAUAUGUGUAAGUAACUGUGCACAUCUUGACGGUACCUAAUCAGAAAGCCACGACUAACUACGUG
rnacentral:rRNA from 1 species